AUGGCUGCCGCCUCUGCGCUCACACUCAAGAUGGCCGCCAUUGUCGCCAUCUGCGUCACCAUGUUGCUGGUCCAGACCACCGUGGGGUUGGGAACUGGCCUGAGCCUUCUCUCCAGUUAUCCAACUUCUGACACCGGACUGAUCCACAAGUGCUCGAUCUUCCAGCCAGGAUCUUUGCUUAGGUCGAUCGAUCGAAUCCAGAUUUUGAUUACUAACGAUAAGUCUCUUCAGAUCGGGCCGGUUCCUGUCCCCGGUGCGACAGCCGGCGGUGAAGGAAGGAAGCCAGCGCCCACGAUGGACCCCAAAGACAGGGGAAACGGCAUGUGCCUCCCCUACAACCUGCUCGUCGACGUCCUCCGACGCCUGACACCAUGCGCCCUCGUCCAGUGCCAGGCGACCUGCCGCGCGUGGCGCGCCAUCGUCGACGACCACCACCUCCUACAGCGCUUCUACACGUACUUCCCAGGCGUCUUGAAGGAUCGUCAUGUCCGACGCUGGGACGAUGGGCCGUCCUUCGUCCUCCCGCCGGACAUGGUGAUGGACCCACUGACCUGGAGAGUAGAUCGUAAAUCAUACGGGACGUGA
rnacentral:rRNA from 1 species